rnacentral:rRNA from 1 species
ACGAGGAGCUUGCUCCUCUGACGUUAGCGGCGGACGGGUGAGUAACACGUGGAUAACCUACCUAUAAGACUGGGAUAACUUCGGGAAACCGGAGCUAAUACCGGAUAAUAUAUUGAACCGCAUGGUUCAAUAGUGAAAGACGGUUUUGCUGUCACUUAUAGAUGGAUCCGCGCCGCAUUAGCUAGUUGGUAAGGUAACGGCUUACCAAGGCAACGAUGCGUAGCCGACCUGAGAGGGUGAUCGGCCACACUGGAACUGAGACACGGUCCAGACUCCUACGGGAGGCAGCAGUAGGGAAUCUUCCGCAAUGGGCGAAAGCCUGACGGAGCAACGCCGCGUGAGUGAUGAAGGUCUUCGGAUCGUAAAACUCUGUUAUUAGGGAAGAACAAAUGUGUAAGUAACUAUGCACGUCUUGACGGUACCUAAUCAGAAAGCCACGGCUAACUACGUGCCAGCAGCCGCGGUAAUACGUAGGUGGCAAGCGUUAUCCGGAAUUAUUGGGCGUAAAGCGCGCGUAGGCGGUUUUUUAAGUCUGAUGUGAAAGCCCACGGCUCAACCGUGGAGGGUCAUUGGAAACUGAAAAACUUGAGUGCAGAAGAGGAAAGUGGAAUUCCAUGUGUAGCGGUGAAAUGCGCAGAGAUAUGGAGGAACACCAGUGGCGAAGGCGACUUUCUGGUCUGUAACUGACGCUGAUGUGCGAAAGCGUGGGGAUCAAA